CUACGGGGGGCACCAGUGGGGAAUCUUGUGCAAUGGGCGAAAGCCUGACACAGCAACGCCGCGUGCGGGAAGAAGGCCUUCGGGUCGUAAACCGCUUUCAGCAGGAACGAAAAUGACGGUACCUGCAGAGGAAGGUGCGGCCAACUACGUGCCAGCAGCCGCGGUGACACGUAGGCACCAAGCGUUGUCCGGAUUUAUUGGGCGUAAAGAGCUCGUAGGCGGUUCAGCAAGUCGGGUGUGAAAACUCUGGGCUUAACCCAGAGCCUGCACCCGAAACUGCUGUGACUAGAGUGCGGUAGGGGAGCGGGGAAUUCCUGGUGUAGCGGUGAAAUGCGCAGAUAUCAGGAGGAACACCGGUGGCGAAGGCGCCGCUCUGGGCCGAAACUGACGCUGAGGAGCGAAAGCGUGGGUAGCAAACAGGAUUAGAUACCCUCGUAGUC
rnacentral:rRNA from 1 species